rnacentral:rRNA from 1 species
AUUGAACGCUGGCGGCAUGCCUUACACAUGCGAGUCGAACGGUAACGCGGGGCAACCUGGCGACGAGUGGCGAACGGGUGAGUAAUGUAUUGGAACGUGCCCAGUUGUGGGGGAUAACUGCUCGAAAGAGCAGCUAAUACCGCAUACGACCUGAGGGUGAAAGCGGGGGAUCGCAAGACCUCGCGCAAUUGGAGCGGCCGAUAUCGGAUUAGGUAGUUGGUGGGGUAAAGGCCUACCAAGCCGACGAUCUGUAGCUGGUCUGACAGGACGACCAGCCACACUGGGACUGAGACACGGCCCAGACUCCUACGGGAGGCAGCAGUGGGGAAUUUUGGACAAUGGGCGCAAGCCUGAUCCGGCCAUGCCGCGUGCGGGAAGAAGGCCUUCGGGUUGUAAACCGCUUUUGUCAGGGAAGAAAAGACUCCUGUUAAUACCGGGGGUUCAUGACGGUACCUGAAGAAUAAGCACCAGCUAACUACGUGCCAGCCGCCGCAGUAAAAC